GACGAACGCUGCGGCCGUCUUAACACAUUCCAAGCGGACCGGAAGGGCCUGCUUUUGUUGGGUUCUCGAGGUGCGAACGGGGGAAUAACACGGUAGUUACCUUCCCUUGGCUUUUGGGUUACUUCAAGGAACUGGGGCUUAUACCGGGUAGGAGCUCCUUCUUCCUGGUGGGGGGUGGGAAAGUUCGGCGGUUGGGGAUGGACUCGCGGCUUUUCAGCUUGUUGGUGGGGGAGUGGCUUACCAAGGCUUUGACGGGUAGCCGGCCUGAGAGGGUGACCGGCCACAUUGGGACUGAGAUACGGCCCAGACUCCUACGGGAGGCAGCAGUGGGGAAUAUUGCACAAUGGGCGGAAGCCUGAUGCAGCAACGCCGCGUGCGGGAUGACGGCCUUCGGGUUGUAAACCGCUUUCGCCUGUGACGAAGCGUGAGUGACGGUAAUGGGUAAAGAAGCACCGGCUAACUACGUG
rnacentral:rRNA from 1 species